ACCAUAUUCAUUUUCAUUCUCAACCCUAGCCGACACUAUCACUCAUUCACUCUCCUCUCCUCUCCUCUCCUCUCAAGCUCUAUCAAUCAGACAAUCACCACCUCUGAAUCUCGCCGCUGAGUUGUGCGCUGAUCAACACUCCGAUCUACAUAAUCCCUACCUCUUCCUAUAUAAUCGAUUGUAGAGAAUACAAGGAUGAUGAAUAUGCUAAAUUGGUGGGAGAAUUAGUGGAAGAAUUUGAAACAUGAGAUAUCGAUUCCAGUACAAGUGAAGUUUGCACUACACAGAAUAAUUGAAGGCUUAGAGUUAUUAUUAUGUAUUUUUAAUAUUUGGACUUUAGACAAUUUAGAGUUACAUUUAUUUGUUUAGAGUGUAUUAUAUUAGUUACUGUGUUUUUUUUU